CCUCUUCCCACCUCUGGCCAGCUAGGGUCUUUGUUUCCAGUUUUCCUGCGUCUGGCUCCUAGGGACUUUGUUCAGGGACAGGGACUUUUCCCACCUCUGGCCCUUGGAAGCAGAGGCUCAGUUACUCAGGAUUUUAAUACAGUAGCCAAUCGUUAAACAUUCAAAAAUCAAUUAAUCCAGAGAAAAUUUGAAAAACCCUCUCACUGAACAAGAACAAGAAUGGGGAAAGAAUAAUUCAGGGGUAUAAUCCCCAGCCUCCAAGCCUCCAGCAGCACCCUCCACCCUCUGAGUCCCCUUCCAUGGUGUCCAAGCUGUCCUUUCACUCUGCCUAAUAAAACACACUACCGCACAUUCUUUGGGUCCAUGAGUUCUAUCUGAGCUGUAACACUCACUGUGAUACUGAAGCCCCCUUUCCCAUUCUUCAGACUUGGAGAGGACAAGAACCUGAAGCUAAUCUGGUUACAUCUGUUGGCAAGCCAGCCAGGAGCAACUCCAAACGCCAGCAUGAAUUGAGACUGUGAAGCCACAAAUGGUCCUGUAAAUGGAACCGCAGAUGUCCUUGGCUCAUGAUGUCUGUCAUGGACCACUGGAUCAACCUGCAAGCCCAGGACACUCCCCUCUGGAGGAAACGUCAGCUGUGCAGUGGCUCAUGCCUACAAUCUCAGAACGUUGGGAGGUCGAAGCAGGCAGAUCUCUGGAGGUCAGGAACUGAGACCAGCCUUGCCAACAUGGUGAAACCCCGUCUCUACUAAAAAUACAAAAAUCAGCCAAGCAUAGUGGUACAUGCCUGUAAUCCCAGCUACCUUAGAGGUUGAGGCCCAAGAAUCACUUGAACCUGGGAGGUGGAGGUUGCAGUGAGUCAAGAUUGCACCACUGCACUCCAGCCUGGGUGACAGAGCGAGAUUCUGUCUCAAAAGAAAUAUAAUAAAACAAAAUAAAAAUACUUUUCUAUUUAUCA
rnacentral:lncRNA from 13 species